AUCAUAUUUUGUGGCAAAAUCGAUGAGUACCCCCCGAACUAACACCUAAUGGGCCGUUCUAUUUUUAGCACAAUAUACACAUCAAUUUCAUGCAUAAAUGGGGUAAUUUCAGCAAGUCAUUAAAAUAUCAAAAGCAGAAAAAUCACAUAUAAUUUCAGUUCCGCAUAGUCUAUUCGAACGGUAUCUUUGAAUUGGUGAACAUAACUUUAAAAUUCAUUCUCCAGAUUUAAGUCGUGUAGUGUUUGAACUAGUAAGUUUAUGUAACUUUCAAAUUAAAUGCUAUUUUUAGUGAGUCAUAAAACCCCAAGAAACGCUUAAAAUAAAUAGUUUCAUGGUUUAAAACACAGAUUUAUGCAGAAAUUAUCACUACUAAAUGGGAAUUUGGUUGCAAAUAAAUAGAAAGUAAUUUCUUUGGGGUAUAAAAUUCGGAAAUUUUAUCAAAAAAUUAUCUCCCUUUGUGGAACUCUCAUGGGAAGAAGGUAGGGAAGAAUGAUUCAUAAGGCAGAUGACAACAACAUGGAAUGGGUGGAAAGUGAUGGAAGAUAAAUUUAUAGCCUUGGUGAAAAUUUCAAGGAAAGAGGGAGUUUAUUUACAUCAGGAUUGCAAGAAGUAUACUUCAGCACAGUUGAGAUUUUUAAAUGUCCAUCAGAAAUUGUGUGAAUUCCAGAAUCAUUGUUCACUGCACUGCACGGCUGAUGUGCAUCAACUAUGAAUAUGAUCUAGACUUAACAGACAUCAUCAUGCCUAUGCCAGUCAUAGACAUUGACAUUGAAUAAAGAACAACAUGUUGUCACCCAUUACAUGACAAAUCUAACUCAGAUGUGAAAGGGGGGGGGGGGGUGACUCCGUGACUCCAAAGCCGAUAGAUCUGCCACAUUGCUCAAGCUGCCAUUGAUUCUGGUAAGUUAACUUUUUUUUAUCUUCCUGCACUAACAGAUACUGAAAUAUGCACUUGUGCAUAAAUACUCAUGGAUGAAAUUUUUAAAAUUUUACUUCUAUUUGAAAUUUUUAAGAUAUCAAUUUCCUCAAUGCACAAUUUUCUAGAUUAAAAUACUGUUACAACAUAUUUAGGAAAUACAAUGAAAUUUUAAUAUAUGUGUUUGGUGUUUGCAGACAAGGCAAUACAUUGAGAAACACAAAAGUUGGGUCCAGAUUAAGACAGAUGUAAAGAAAGAGUUGAAAGAUGUGUUCUGAAGUAAGACAGCCAUACCCCUGCUUUCCAAGGAACCAAACAAUUACUUUCCUUGUAUUGACAUGGUGAAAAAUGGGGAGUGUCCAGAAAAUGACGAAGACCUCCAGAAUGUCAUCAGUGAUAUUGUUGCAAUUGAAUGUAGCCAAUUAUUAUCCAAUAUAUAUUAUCUAUGACUGAACUCAUAAGUGGUUAAGGAAAAUGUUUUAAUUUUUUAUUCAGGUUAUUUAAUCCUUUAGGUUGAAAUAAAUAUCUACUGCUUGGAGGUUAUUUUACAUCUCUCAGGAUUUUCUAGAUGUCAGAUUUCCUAAAACUCACACUUUUGUUUCAUUUUUUUUUUUUUUUUGAAUAAAUGUACAGAAAAAUUGAAUAUUCUUCUAUGGGAUAUUUUUGCCAAUAGUUUCAGUUGAAAGUUGCAACAACAACAAAAACAAAAACAAAACAAAAUAAACAAAAAAAAAGAAAAGAAUUGCAAUGAUUAAAUCUGUAUGUUUAUAAUGAAUGUGUCUUUCAUGAUCUUGUAUGUGACGUUCAUGAAUUUUUGACAUUACCUGACUUACAGUGGAAUAUCACCCCCCCCCCCCCCCCCC